GCCAGUGAAGCUGAUGAGGCAUAGCACUCGCCUUGUAAGCGAGCGGUAGCAGGUUCGAUUCCUGUCGCUGGCU
rnacentral:tRNA from 1 species